GACGAGCGCUGGCGGCGUCUUAACACAUGCAAGUCGAACGAUGAAGCCUAGCUUGCUAGGUGGAUUAGUGGCGAACGGGUGAGUAAUACGUGAGUGACCUACCUUUGACUCUGGGAUAAGCCUGGGAAACUGGGUCUAAUACCGGAUACGACCAAUCUCCGCAUGGGGUGUUGGUGGAAAGCGUUAUGGAGUGGUUUUAGAUGGGCUCACGGCCUAUCAGCUUGUUGGUGAGGUAAUGGCUUACCAAGGCGACGACGGGUAGCCGGCCUGAGAGGGUGACCGGCCACACUGGGACUGAGACACGGCCCAGACUCCUACGGGAGGCAGCAGUGGGGAAUAUUGCACAAUGGGCGCAAGCCUGAUGCAGCGACGCCGCGUGAGGGAUGACGGCCUUCGGGUUGUAAACCUCUGUUAGCAUCGAAGAAGUGAAAGUGACGGUAGGUGCAGAGAAAGCGCCGGCUAACUACGUG
rnacentral:rRNA from 1 species